CCCUUAGAUGUUCUGGGCCGCACGCGCGCUACACUGAUGCAUUCAACGAGUCUAAAACCUGGUCUGAUAGGGCUGGGUAAUCUUUUGAAUGUGCAUCGUGAUUGGGAUAGAUGAUUGCAAUUCUUCAUCUUCAACGAGGAAUGCCUAGUAAACGCAAGUCAUCAGCUUGCAUUGAUUACGUCCCUGCCCUUUGUACGCACCGCCCGUCGCUCCUACCGAUUGAAUGUUCCGAUGAAUACCAUGGACUGAGAGUAUGAAUGGGUUCGCCUAUUUCUGCUUCUCGGGAAGUGGAGUAAAUCUUAACAUUUAGAGGAAGUAAAAGUCGUAACA
rnacentral:rRNA from 1 species